CUGAGCAGAGAGCCCGAUGCGGGGCUUGAUGCUAGGACCCUGGGCCACCCAGGCGCCCCCAGAAUUCUUUUUAGUUGCAAUGAUAAAAACCCGACUGGAAAAUGUUGACUGAUGUAACCAGUAGUUCAAAGGUUGGAUAAAGACAGAUCCUGGGAUCAAAGCGCAAUCCACUGGUAACCCUUUCUAGUCUAAUGAGAAUUUAUAGGAAAUAGCGCCUUCCAUCAGAUUUUCCACGCUAGACGUGAAAGAUGUAUUGAUUUUUUUUUUUCCGUCCCGUUUACACGUGCCUAGCCAGAUUGUUCUAUGCUGUUCGGUACCAGGUUCGAUGGUGUGGUAGAAGAAUUGGAUUCUACCACAGGCUUAUGUCCCAUUCAGUUUUCUCAACAAGCCCAACAAAUCCACUAGCUCAGGGAAGUCUCUUAGCCUUUUCCCGCAUAUUGGAUUUGUAUAGGUUGUAAUAAAUAUGUUCAGUAUUCUGGAGAUCUGUGUGUAUGGAGUAUAUUUGAAGAGCAACUGUCCGUCUCCUGGUAGACAUCAUAACAGGAAAGGAAACAAUGGAAAUGUGCCACUGAUCAGCCUUUUGUGUAUGUGUCGGCUUUCAAGUCCAGUUUUUAAUUAUUAAAAUCGGAAGACUCACUUGCAUGAUUAAUUCUUUCUGUGUACCUGCACAGAUUAGGGACCUGUGUGUAUCAGAGUACAGGAAGUGGAGGAUCCCCAUGGUGACCCUGAUGGUGGGCCUUGGGUCUGGCCUUACAGGACUGAGUCUGUGGUAGCGUGUGAAAAUAUUUGCCAAGCCUGCAUUCUCAGCAAAGUCUGGUGAGCUGUAAGCUGAUGAAUGCAAUGAUAGGUUCUUUAAUCGAGGCUGUAGCCAAGUACAAGCAAUUUGUUUAGAAAGAUAAAUGCACAGAAAGCUAAAGUUUAACAAAUUGAUUGUUGUUCCCCACUGAUGAAACAUUCUGUUUUCUUUUCUGCCUUGGCCACUGACCUGGGGCUGGGGCUGUGAUGGUGCCUGUGAAGGAGACCACCCAAGGCUGUUCAGAUUUCUGGGUAACCUCUGACUACCAUGUUCAGAUUUUUGAUGGUUUACUAGGAGAUUAAGAUAGUUUUCAGAGAAACCAGACAGGCUGGUAGGUUUGUGAGAGCCACUCCUUUUCAGCUGACUGAGAGAGAAUUCUACAAGUCUUCCCGGCUUGCCUCAAUUCUUUUCCCCAGACAAAACUUUCCCCAGUAAUCUCCAGGAGCCUGCAGGGGCUGUCUGCUGUCUGAAAUCCAAUGACCUGUUAAUGCUUUUAGAGCUAGAGAUCACCCUGUCUUGUUGGGUUCUCUGGUACUGUGUGGCUCUACAUUUGCCUCCCCAACUCAAUAUUAUCCCACUUAUUCAGUCUGUGGAGUGUCUUCUCAAGAAAUAUUUUAUUAUCUUGUUUGAUAUUUGUGAAAGCCCUUUGGGAGAGGUUGAGAAAUUUUAGAAAGAAGUUUAGAAAGCUUAGAAAGAAGUUUAGGAAGCUCUUUGGCAGCAGGAGCCUACAUUUGCAGAUGAACUGAGACCUGGAGAUGUGGCUCUGGACUCACCUAGUUAAGGACCAUUUGUUCUGAGUGCCAAGUGCCCCGUGAUGGACAAAUGGAGACUUGCAAAGGGGAGGCACAGCUCUUGUUACGUAGAAGCUUUCGGUCAGGCCAAGAAGAGAAGCUGGACACUGUUAUAUAAAGUAUGUGACAGUUUAUUUUGUGGGGAGUGGGAAGGGAGGGUUGUUCGGUGGGAUAAGGAAGGCUUCUAGGGGAGAAGGGUGUCACACAUAUACUGGAUUUCAACGUAUGGGAAAAACUUUGCCAGAUACAGGACAUUAUUGUCAGGGAGAUAACAGAGCAAAAGAAAUCAGGAAGUACAAGGCUGUAUUUUGAGAAGAAGAAGUAGGAUAAUUUGACUGGAGUGAGAAGUUUGUUUAGAGAAGCGGAAAGAAAAUAAGUCAGAAACUCUGGUUGGGAUCUAAUGAUGGAGGACCUUGAUGCUAGACCGAGGAUCUUGGUGGGGCCAAGAACAUGGUGGAGGGGGAGGGAGGGACCAAAGUGAUAAAGGCUGGGUGGUGACCAUAUAGGUGGGAGCUACCAGGGAUGGGGAAAAGGGUUAAGGGGCUGUUGCAGAGGUCUACCUGGUAAGUCCUUGGACAGGGGUGAUGGGAAGAAAUGUUAAUGGCAGAGAGAGAGGGAAGGAAAAAGGUACAGCCCCAGUAUAUGAUGGGAUGGUGGUGGGUUUUUAUAAUCUGUAGAGUGGUAUUGACUUGGAAGGAUACUGGAGCUUCAUUCGAAGAGAAGAUAACAUAUUUCUGAGACACACACGUUUGUGGUAAUAUACCGGGAAGUAGAAUAUCAGAGGGCCUUGGUUAUACUCAAAGAGCUAAAUUGUGGCUGACCCUCUCUUUGGCUUCUGUAACAUCCUCCAUAGCAUCUGGUAUAGAUCAGGACCCUUUACCAAUACAUAAUGAAUUCAGUGAUGAGAUUCUUUUAGUGGGUUUGUAGUAACUUAAAUGAAGCUGGGCUGAAUCCUAUUUACACCAUAGUUAUAGUAAAGGAGACCAAACCAGAACUAUUUAUUUAUUUAUUUAU